rnacentral:rRNA from 1 species
GAUGAACGCUGACAGAAUGCUUAACACAUGCAAGUCAACUUGAACUUCGGUUUGGGUGGCGGGACGGGUGAGUAACGCGUAAAGAACUUGCCUCACAGCUAGGGACAACAUUUGGAAACGAAUGCUAAUACCUGAUAUUAUGAUUUUAGGGCAUCCUAGAAUUAUGAAAGCUAUAUGCGCUGUGAGAGAGCUUUGCGUCCCAUUAGCUAGUUGGAGAGGUAACGGCUCACCAAGGCGAUGAUGGGUAGCCGGCCUGAGAGGGUGAUCGGCCACAAGGGGACUGAGACACGGCCCUUACUCCUACGGGAGGCAGCAGUGGGGAAUAUUGGACAAUGGACCAAGAGUCUGAUCCAGCAAUUCUGUGUGCACGAUGAAGUUUUUCGGAAUGUAAAGUGCUUUCAGUUGGGAAGAAAAAAAUGACGGUACCAACAGAAGAAGUGACGGCUAAAUACGUGCCAGCAGCCGCGGUAAUACGUAUGUCACAAGCGUUAUCCGGAUUUAUUGGGCGUAAAGCGCGUCUAGGUGGUUAUAUAAGUCUGAUGUGAAAAUGCAGGGCUCAACUCUGUAUUGCGUUGGAAACUGUGUAACUAGAGUACUGGAGAGGUAAGCGGAACUACAAGUGUAGAGGUGAAAUUCGUAGAUAUUUGUAGGAAUGCCGAUGGGGAAGCCAGCUUACUGGACAGAUACUGACGCUAAAGCGCGAAAGCGUGGGUAGCAAACAGG